AGAGUUGAUCAUGGCUCAGAACGAACGCUGGCGGCGCGUUUAAGCAUGCAAGUCGAGCGGCAAGGGCCUUCGGGCCCCUAGAGCGGCGGACGGGUGAGUAACACGUGGACAAUCUGCCCCCCGGCCCGGGAUAGCCCAGGGAAACCUGGAUUAAUACCGGAUGAGACGGGACCCGCGAUGGCGGGAUCCGGGAAAGGCGCUGCGGCGCCGCCGGGGGAUGAGUCUGCGUCCCAUUAGCUAGACGGCGGGGUAACGGCCCACCGUGGCGACGAUGGGUAGCCGGCCUGAGAGGGUGGACGGCCGCAUUGGAACUGAGACACGGUCCAGACUCCUACGGGGGGCAGCAGCUAAGAAUCUUCCGCAAUGGGCGAAAGCCUGACGGAAGCGACGCCGCGUGAACGAAGAAGGCCGUGAGGUUGUAAGGUUCUUUUCGGGAGGGGGAACAACCGUGGCAGGGAAUGGCCGCGGGAUGACGUGAAUCCCGGAAUAAGCCCCGGCUAACUACGUGCCAGCCGCCGC
rnacentral:rRNA from 1 species